UACGGAGGGUGCAAGCGUUAAUCGGAAUUACUGGGCGUAAAGCGUGCGUAGGCGGUUCGUUAAGUCUGCUGUGAAAGCCCCGGGCUCAACCGUGGAAUGGCAGUGGAUACUGGCGAGCUAGAGUGUGAUUGAGGAUGGUGGAAUUCCCGGUGUAGCGGUGAAAUGCGUAGAGAUCGGGCGGAACAUCAGUGGCGAAGGCGGCCAUCUGGAUCAACACUGACGCUGAGGCACGAAAGCGUGGGGAGCAAACAGG
rnacentral:rRNA from 1 species